GGUGCUGAAAGCAAAUCAAGCUCUGGAAGAAGGUUUUUAAUGAUCCUUCCAAAUUUAUCCUGGGUUGUGGGAGUUGGAAAGAGAGAAAUCUUCUCAGACUCAAGAGGGUUUGAUUUGCAGCCUUAGAAGAAGCCUAGAUGGAUGUGAAAGCAAGCUGCUGGAGGAGUGCUCUGAGGAGCUGCCUCUGAACAUGGCUGCACAAUGAGA
rnacentral:lncRNA from 1 species